rnacentral:rRNA from 1 species
GACGAACGCUGGCGGCGUGCUUAACACAUGCAAGUCGAACGAUGAACCGGUUUCGGCCGGGGAUUAGUGGCGAACGGGUGAGUAACACGUGGGCAAUCUGCCCUGCACUCUGGAAUAAGCCCGGGAAACUGGGUCUAAUACCGGAUACGACACUCCGAGGCAUCUUGGGGUGUGGAAAGUUCCGGCGGUGCAGGAUGAGCCCGCGGCCUAUCAGCUUGUUGGUGGGGUAAUGGCCUACCAAGGCGACGACGGGUAGCCGGCCUGAGAGGGUGACCGGCCACACUGGGACUGAGACACGGCCCAGACUCCUACGGGAGGCAGCAGUGGGGAAUAUUGCACAAUGGGCGAAAGCCUGAUGCAGCGACGCCGCGUGAGGGAUGACGGCCUUCGGGUUGUAAACCUCUUUCAGCAGGGAAGAAGCGAAAGUGACGGUACCUGCAGAAGAAGCACCGGCUAACUACGUG